rnacentral:rRNA from 1 species
AAUGAACGCUGGCGGCGCGCCUAAUACAUGCAAGUCGAGCGAGAAGACGUAGCAAUACGUUUGUAAAGCGGCGAACGGGUGAGGAAUACAUGGGUAACCUACCCUCGAGUGGGGAAUAACUAGCCGAAAGGUUAGCUAAUACCGCGUACGCUUCUUGGACUUCGGUUCAGGGAGGAAAGCGAUGCCGAGGGUAUCGCGCUCUUGGAUGGGCUCAUGUCCUAUCAGCUUGUUGGGAGGUAACGGCUCACCAAGGCUUCGACGGGUAGCUGGUCUGAGAGGGACGAUCAGCCACACUGGCACUGGCGACACGGGACCAGACUCCUACGGGAGGCAGCAGUAAGGAAUAUUGCGCAAUGGGCGAAAGCCUGACGCAGCGACGCCGC